rnacentral:lncRNA from 1 species
UUCCAGAGCAGGUCUCCUAUCAGAGCUGUCACUGAAGUGCACUUGGAGCCGAUCUCGCUGUUCCUCGAAUUUGGGAAGUUGGGAGUCCUUCAAUAGUGCCUGUGCUUAGAAGCGAAGAAGGGAAUAUUGUCAUCGAAGAACUCAGAGUUUUCAAGGCCUGUCUCCACAGUCAUUCACACCGUGUAGCAGAGGGGUGAACGCCCACCAGCAGCUGAGAGCAAUUACGUUCCUAAGUAGAAAUGAUCGGGAGAGAGGAGAGAGCUACCAGCCGGCUGUGUUAGAGAUACCGUGAAAAAGAAAGACGCUUUCUGUGACUCCCAUAUGCAGCUUGCCCGUACUUCCUACCUUCCCAGCCGACUCCAAAACAUUAAGAAAAAUGGGGGAUUUUAAAAAUCAAAUGAUAUUUUAGAAUUUAUUUGCUAGAGACUCUGAG